rnacentral:pre_miRNA from 1 species
CCGAAAAUACUUGUCAUCAAAAUGGAUAAAAAGAGAUGUAUCUAAAACUAAAAUACGUCUAGAUACAUUUCCUUUUAUCCAUUUUUAUGACAAGUAUUUCCGGACGGAGGGAGUAUUUG